rnacentral:rRNA from 1 species
UACGUAGGGGGCAAGCGUUGUCCGGAAUCAUUGGGCGUAAAGCGCGUGUAGGCGGCCAGGUAAGUCCGUUCUGAAAGCCCGGGGCUCAACCCCGGGAGGCGGAUGGAUACUGCUUGGCUCGAGUCCGGAAGAGGUGAGUGGAAUUCCCGGUGUAGCGGUGAAAUGCGCAGAUAUCAGGAGGAACACCAAUUGCGAAGGCAGCUCGCUGGGACGUUACUGACGCUGAGACGCGAAAGCGUGGGGAGCAAACAGG